GAUGAACGCUGGCGGCGUGCUUAACACAUGCAAGUCGAACGGGAAUUACUUUAUUGAAACUUCGGUGGAUUUAAUUUAAUUCUAGUGGCGGACGGGUGAGUAACGCGUGGGUAACCUGCCUUAUACAGGGGGAUAACAGUCAGAAAUGGCUGCUAAUACCGCAUAAGCGCACAGAGCUGCAUGGCUCAGUGUGAAAAACUCCGGUGGUAUAAGAUGGACCCGCGUUGGAUUAGCUAGUUGGUGGGGUAACGGCCCACCAAGGCGACGAUCCAUAGCCGGCCUGAGAGGGUGAACGGCCACAUUGGGACUGAGACACGGCCCAGACUCCUACGGGAGGCAGCAGUGGGGAAUAUUGCACAAUGGGGGAAACCCUGAUGCAGCGACGCCGCGUGCAGGAAGAAGGUCUUCGGAUUGUAAACUGUUGUCGCAAGGGAAGAAGACAGUGACGGUACCUUGUGAGAAAGUCACGGCUAACUACGUGCCAGCAGCCGCGGUAAUACGUAGGUGACAAGCGUUGUCCGGAUUUACUGGGUGUAAAGGGCGCGUAGGCGGACUGUCAAGUCAGUCGUGAAAUACCGGGGCUUAACCCCGGGGCUGCGAUUGAAACUGACAGCCUUGAGUAUCGGAGAGGAAAGCGGAAUUCCUAGUGUAGCGGUGAAAUGCGUAGAUAUUAGGAGGAACACCAGUGGCGAAGGCGGCUUUCUGGACGACAACUGACGCUGAGGCGCGAAAGUGUGGGGAGCAAACAGGAUUAGAUACCCUGGUAGUCCACACCCUAAACGAUGGAUACUAGGUGUAGGAGGUAUCGACCCCCUCUGUGCCGCAGUUAACACAAUAAGUAUCCCACCUGGGGAGUACGACCGCAAGGUUGAAACUCAGAGGAAUUGACGGGGGCCCGCACAAGCAGUGGAGUAUGUGGUUUAAUUCGAAGCAACGCGAAGAACCUUACCUGGGCUUGACAUCCCUGGAAUCGAGUAGAGAUACUUGAGUGCCUUCGGGAAUCAGGUGACAGGUGGUGCAUGGUUGUCGUCAGCUCGUGUCGUGAGAUGUUGGGUUAAGUCCCGCAACGAGCGCAACCCCUAUUGUCAGUUGCCAUCAUUAAGUUGGGCACUCUGGCGAGACUGCCGGUGACAAAUCGGAGGAAGGUGGGGAGGACGUCAAAUCAUCAUGCCCCUUAUGCCCAGGGCUACACACGUACUACAAUGGCCGAUAACAAAGUGCAGCGAAACCGUGAGGUGGAGCGAAUCACAAAACUCGGUCUCAGUUCAGAUUGCAGGCUGCAACUCGCCUGCAUGAAGUUGGAAUUGCUAGUAAUCGCGGAUCAGAAUGCCGCGGUGAAUACGUUCCCGGGCCUUGCACA
rnacentral:rRNA from 1 species